UAUCAGUCAUGCAUAGCAUAUCAAUAAGCGGAGGAAAAGAAACUAACAAGGAUUCCCUUAGUAACGGCGAGUGAAGCGGGAAGAGCUCAAAUUUGAAAUCUUCAAGGUUUUACCUUGACGAAUUGUAGUUUAAAGAAGUGUUUUCUGUUGAAGUUUUGGUAAAAGUUCUUUGGAAUAGGACAUCAUAGAGGGUGAGAAUCUCGUAUUUGACCAUUACUUUCAGCUUUGUGAUACACUUUCAAAGAGUCGGAUUGUUUGGGAAUGCAGUCCAAAAUGGGUGGUAAAUUUCAUCUAAAGCUAAAUAUUGGCGAGAGACCGAUAGCGAACAAGUACCGUGAGGGAAAGAUGAAAAGAACUUGAAAAGAGAGUUAAACAGUACGUGAAAUUGUCAAAAGGGAAGCGUUUGACACCAGGUGUUGUUUUCUCGAAAAUCAAUUAAAAAGAGUUGGAUUUUGUGUUGUAUUGACUUUAUCAGGCUUUCUUCACUCUUUUCCAGCUUUUUUUAAUGCACUUUUCGUUUAACAAGUCAACAUCAGUUUCUUUUGUUGUAAAAAGGUCAUUGGAAGGUGGCUUUCUCUUCGGAGAAAGUGUUUAUAGCCUUUGACUCAUGCAAUCGGAGAGACUGAGGUCUGCAGCGUAGAUCCUUCGGGGUUAGAUACAUUUGUGCUAAGUUAUAGCUUUUCAUAGACAACUUGUUGACUAUGUUUAGUCUUGUAGCUUACUCGCUUAUGCUAUUUUACCUACGCUUAGGAUGUUGAACUCUAUCACACACAG
rnacentral:rRNA from 1 species